rnacentral:lncRNA from 1 species
CCCCCAGGUGCCCAGCCCCUUCCCCAGCAUAUGGGAACAGCGUGGUGUACAUUUGUUGUCAAGAACCGGAUGCAGACUCUGAGAGAGAGGCCAUGACAAGGUGCGGGGAUGGGGCAUAAGCAGAGAAAAGACAGGCAUGAGAAGGGGCCAGAAACCCAGAGAGGGAGAAGGUAGAUGCGGGGAAGGUGAGGUGGGAGGUGUUGGGGGAGGGACACCAGAGACCCAGAGAGAGGACAGAGACCCAGAGAAGGGAGGACCAGAGACAGAGGGCCAGGAAGAGGGGACAGAGAUGGCAAAGCUUAGCAGGCAGUGAGGUCAGAGUGUCUGUGAGGUCGGCUGCUGUCCAGGGCUGGCCUGGGGCCCCGGGGCCCAGAGUAGGUGGGUGCAAGUAGAUCAGGAGUCCCUGCGGGUCCCCCAGCCUGAGCCAUGGAGACCUGGGAGGAACUACCCAACGUGUCCUCGGUGCCCACAAAUCCCAAGGCCCCUCAGGUACUGGUGUGUGUCUGAGUGGGGCAGAUGAGGGCGACAGGGGCCCAGAUAGACGAGAAAGCCAUCUCGAGGGUGUAGAGGGAGGGGGCGGGGCUCCACCUCUGGAACUUCCUCUUUCUCGGUGUUCUUCCUUUCUCCCUCCCCCUCUCUCACAGCCUCUUUCUGCCCUUCUCCUCCACUGCUAACACCUCUUCUGUUCGGUCCCUCCCCUCUGGCUGCCCACCCCUCUAGGCGAAGAUGUCGGCCCAGGACAGCUGCCUCAGCCUCAUCAAGUACCUCCUCUUCGUUUUCAACCUCUUCUUCUUCGUGAGUUGCCACAUGGCUACCCAGCCCAGGCCCCAGCCCCUGCCACAGCCACCUGACCUGAUAUCCCCCCCUCCUUUGCCCACCGCCAUAUUCUCAUCUCCUCCCUCCAGGUCCUAGGCAGCCUUAUUUUCUGCUUUGGCAUCUGGAUACUCAUUGACAAGACCAGCUUCGUGUCCUUUGUAGGUGAGGGGGCCAGGGCUCCUGGGAGGGGCCUCCUGGAGCAAGUGUGGCCCGGUCUGCCCCUAAGUGACAUCCCGGGGUCUCCCUUGUCCCAGACUCUGCUUCACAGCCUGCCCGCUGCUCUUAGUCUCAGUGCCUUCCUCUGGCAAAUGAGUUGUGCAUAUGAAUACUAAUAAAAAUGAUAAUAGCCAUUUCUCAGGCACUUCCUACGUGUUAGAUGUAGUGCAGAUCCUUAUCAGAUCCUCCCACAAACCUUCCCCUCUCUUGAGGUUCAGGGAGGGGACGUCACUUACUGGCUGUCACGCAGCAAGGAAAUGGAAGAGCUGAUAUAACAAUAAUAAUAAUAAUAAUAAUAGUAGGAAAAUAAUAAUGGAGUAAUAGUCGAAAUACUGAUAGCUCACGUUUAAUAAGUGUGUGCCCUGUACUGAGGACUGCGUUGAGCGCAUGCCUCCCAUGUGUCCCUGAAAAUAGCACUCAGAAAUAGAUAUCAUGCACCCCUACCCCUUGGGAGGUCUAAGUGACAGAUGUACUGCCAAGUGAUGGGACUGAAACUUUUGGGGGUGAGGAGGGGCUGAAGGAGGAAAGAGAGACUGAGAGCAAGAGGGAGAGACUAUGACCAGGGAGAAAGGAACAGAGAUCCAAAGAGAAGGGAACAGAGACCUAGAGAGGGUGUUGAGGGGACGGUGACUCAGGAGGAACAGAGUGCCAGAGAGAGGGGUAGAUAGCAUCCCAGAAGGAGAGGAACAGAGACCCAACAUGUGGCAGGGACAGACACGCAGAGAAAGAGCCCCCCCCCCCCAAUACUCCUCCCCAGUUGAGUGGCUGCAUGGGUGGGGAAUGGGGCUACCUGGGGCUGUGAGCACCGUGCCCAAUGUCACUGCCUCUCACCUCCCCCAGGCCUGUCCUUCAUGCCCCUGCAGAUCUGGUCCAAGGCCCUGGCCAUCUCAGGAAUUCUCACCAUGGGUCUUGCUCUCCUGGGCUGUGUGGGGGCCCUGAAGGAGCUCCGCUGCCUGCUGGGCCUGGUGAGUGACCUCC